CUUCUUCCUUGCAUUAAUCCCAUCAAAUGGGGUCUGGUCUACGAGUCCUCUCCCUCUAAAGUGCUCUGUUCAAUGCCAUAUCCUCUAUCACAGUGGUUUUCAAACUUG